GAUCACCAGCUAUCAAGUAGCAUUGAAACUAGUCUAAGUUGUUGAAGAAGCUAGAGACCUAAUACCACAACAUACCCAGCAGCUCAAGAAUUUUGUACCCUAUAAGAGGAAGCCACAAGAGCUGCACCAAUAAGAGAAAGGAUAGAGGACAAGCCCCACUAUUCUUAAUGAGGCACUAACUAAGGAAACGAAUAAGAUUUAUCCAUAUUAUGGCAGAAACCACAGUAACAAGCCCUGUUACAAGCUAACUAGAGCAUGUUUGAAGUGUGGAAGCACCCAAAAUCUCAUCAAAGACUGCCCUAUCUUCAAGACAGAAUAUAACAGAUCCAGGACUCAGGGGAGGGUCUAUGCUAUUACAGAGAAAGAUGUUAAAGCCUUGUAGGAUGUCAUCUAAGGUAUACUCACUAUCUAUACUAUGUUGGCUAAAGCUUUAGUAGACCUUGAUUUUACACAUUC
rnacentral:lncRNA from 1 species